rnacentral:rRNA from 1 species
AUUUUGCGACCUGAACUCAGACGUGAGCACCCGCUGAACUUAAGCAUAUCAUUUAGCGGAGGA